rnacentral:rRNA from 1 species
GUCUACGGCCAUGCUACCCUGAACAAGCCUGAUCCCGUCUGAUCUCAGAAGCUAAGCAGGGUCGAGCCUGAUUAGUACUUGGAUGGGAGACAACCUAGGAAGACCAGGUGCUGUAGGCG